AUUACCUCAGUAACGGCGAAGUGAAGCGGUAACAGCUCAAAUUUGAAAUCUGGCCUCACGGUCCGAGUUGUAAUUUGUAGAGGAUGCUUCGAGCAUGGUCUGGCCUAAGUUGCCUUGGAACAGGACGUCAUAGAGGGUGAGAAUCCCGUAUGCGGCCAGGUGCCUACGCUCAUGUGAAGCUCCUUCGACGAAGUCGAGUUGUUUGGGAAUGCAGCUCAAAAAUGGGUGGUAAAUUUCAUCUAAAGCUAAAUAUUGGCCAGAGACCGAUAGCGCACAAGUAGAGUGAUCGAAAGAUGAAAAAGCACUUUGGAAAGAGAGUUAAACAGUACGUGAAAAUUGUUGAAAAGGGAAGCGCUUGCAACCAGACUUGCGCGCGGCCGAUCAUCCGGUGUUCUCACCGGUGCACUCGGCCGUGCUCAGGCCAGCAUCGGUUUUGGCGGCUGGAUAAAGGCCCUAGGAAUGUAGCUCCUCUCGGGGAGUGUUAUAGCCUAGGGUGCAAUGCAGCCUGCUGGGACCGAGGACCGCGCUUCGGCUAGGAUGCUGGCGUAAUGGUUGUAAGCGGCCCGUCUUGAAACACGGACCAAGGAGUCUAACAUCUAUGCGAGUGUUUGGGUGUCAAACCCAUACGCGUAAUGAAAGUGAACGGAGGUGAGAACCCUUAAGGGUGCAUCAUCGACCGGUCCUGAAGUUUACGGAAGGAUCUGAGUAAGAGCAUAGCUGUUGGGACCCGAAAGAUGGUGAACUAUGCCUGAAUAGGGUGAAGCCAGAGGAAACUCUGGUGGAGGCUCGCAGCGGUUCUGACGUGCAAAUCGAUCGUCAAAUUUGGGUAUAGGGGCGAAAGACUAAUCGAACCAUUGACCUGUAGGAACACUACUAGGUGGUUAAGAGGCGGCUAAAAAGUGCCGUCUAGUCCCGACGCCGGGGCGACACUGUCAAAUUGCGGGAACAUCCUUAGAGCCUAGACUACCGCAGCCUUCCUGAAAGGGGGGUGCGCACCAGGGUAAUGACCUCGGGUAUGGUAAUAACGUCUAGGAUUGGACAAUCCGCAGCCCAAGCCCUACGGACUUCGGUCUAUGGUGCAGUUCAUCGACUAGAUGGCAGUGGGUGGCAGCAAUGCCGCUUAAGAUAUAGUCAGACCCCCGGGAGACCGGGCGGCAGAACAAAGACCGNGGGGGGCGUCCUCUCUGAGAGCCCUGCGGUCCCGAGUCUGCUGGUGGCAUCGCAGCUUGCUGCGGUGCCUGAGU
rnacentral:rRNA from 1 species